GAAGCCAAGAUGGAGGAACAGCAUGGAAGGUGUUUUUGCGUCUCUCCUCCUCGAAAUACUACCAGAUUAACACUAAACCAUCCUGCACACCUAGAAAACUGAUUUGAGGAGUAACGCAACAAUUUGCACAAUCUGAACCACAGAACUAAGCAGACGGAGCACAGGCUGGGAAGGAGCAGAAAGAGGGAGACAGAAUCUGAAGCAGGCUCCAGGCCCAACACAGGGCUCAAACCCGUGAAUUGCGAGAUCACAACCUGGGCCAAAGUCGGACACUUAAUCAACCUCAGCCACCCAGGUGCCCCAGCAUUGUGAUUUUUAGGAACUAGCAGUCAUGUUAUAGGACUGAGUGCACACGUAAAACACUCAGCUCACGGUUCUUUCCCCAUUAUGGACUGACUUUAUCCUCGUGCUUUGCUUGUGGAUUAUUUUUCUGAUUAUACACAAAAGAAAAUGCAAACGCAGAGAAGUCACUUGCCCAAGAUCACACAACCAAGUCCCAGCAGAUAAAAGGCCUAUUCCCUGCCUUCAAAUUUCUUAAGAUACAAAAGAUACAGAUAUUACUUCUAAACCUAUAUCCAAACACUGAGAGCAAAACGUACAUAAGAGCAUGGCCCUUUGGGAGUCAAAAGGUGGAGAGGAGAGAGGGCAUUUAAUCAUAAAGGAAUCCUUGAAGAGGUAAAUUGGGACUGCAGAAAAAUAGUGAGCAGAAGGAAGAAAACUGCGAAUGGAGACAAAUCAGUGGAUAGCAGGGGUCUCAAACUCAGCUGCCUUCAGGGGCCGAGCAAACAGAGAUGAAUGGAACGUUCCAGGUGUAAACAAUAGAGAAUGGUGGGGACUGCAGGGCCUCAGGUCUUACCAAAGGGGUAGCCACUAAGGAGUGCUGACCAAUUUUGUGGCACUCCUAGGAAGAUCCAACAACUGAUUUUUAUGAGAAGCAGAGAAUUUACAUGUUAUAUGAAAUUUCUAGGUUGGGUUUUUUGUUUUCUCAUUUUAAUUGCGGUCUAAACAUCAACUGUUUUCUAAACAUUGGCAACGAAUUCAAGUAUUUUAAAAACACGUUUCAGGCCCAACUAAUACAUCUACAGGCCAGAUGUGCCCCGCGGGCUGCCAGUAUUCAAGCUCUGAUGAAUGACGACGCUCAGGGCUCGGGGCCCCAAGCAAAGAAGUCUGAACAAUGAUGGACACAAAAUAUGUUAUUUAUUGUCAAUUUCUGCAAAGACACAUUUAAGCAACAAAAUAUACAUUUGUCAACCUUUUAGAAUUUGUUUUAUACAUUAACAAAUACAAUGUGCUACCAUAGCAAUAAAUUAAAUGUACAUUAUUUACAUUACAUAGGCAGUCGGGGUCUACGAAUCACCUCCUCACGAAGAGGAAAGAAAAAAAAGUCAUCAUCACAUGGAUCGUCACUUCCAAGCUACACUUCUGAGGUUCUAUCACACAAAGGAAUCUCUUCACACUAGAACACCAGCAAUCCCCGGGCUGGAGCGUAGAAGGGGAACGCCCAUGACAGGGGAGAGUUGGCAUACAUGCUAAGGAGUGGGAAGGAGGAACUGACCGUUCCAAGCGGAAAUAUCACAAAAUCAAAGAUGAUGGCAUUUAAAUUCCAGUCUUUCAGACAAACACCCUCUCUCCAGGGCUGGUAAGGCACAGGACAGAGCCACUGCCCCCAACAGCCUCUCACUAGGCAGGGCUCCACUGUCCUUGGCCCUAGUGCGGGUGGUCUCCUUCCUCCCAAAGGGGCAGAUGGGCCAGCUGAAAGGAAGGAGAUGUGGGGUUGGGGUGGGCAAGGGGCUAGUGGUAAAAACAGAUAUCAGGGCUUAUAGAAUGCUCCUUCGCAGCCUUGGCAAACUCCACUGACCCACCCUCACUUUUGAGAAAGGGAGCUAGAGAUCUGGGGAGAAGCCGUGGGGUCCCAAGCAUGGCUGUACGGCUGGGUCCCUGCCAGCCACCUACUUGACCCCUGACUAUCCCCCACGACGACCUGUCUCUGUUGACUCAGAAUCAAAUGAAGAAGGUAGUGUUUGCAUUGGCACUUUAAACAGCCAGGGUAAGAAGUGACGGUGGCUCUCAUCCCACCUCGUCACAUGAGUCUACAUUUUUAUUAACCACCUUUGUUUAAGGGUCGGGGAGAAUAGGAGAGUUUUCUUCUACCAUUUUCCUUAACUUAAGGCGGGGAAACUGAGCGUUAGUUAACUCCAUCUCUGCCCUGGCCCCCACCCCUACAGGGCAGUUGAAGAAUGGAUGUUACCCGGAAAAGUCCACUAAAAUCUCUUGCCCUCCAGGUUUUCUCUGCUCAAGCUGCAUCCAAAACCCCAGGGCCCUCACUGAAAAACUGAGAGACUAUCCCUCCUGAUGAAAAGAACAGAGACUGAGGCCCCACCCUGACUGCUGACAGCUCCCAACCAGUGCCCAGGCAUCAGCAAGGCUCCUCCAAAACUCAGGGCCCCGGCAAAUGCAGCCGCUUGUUGAAGAGACCAUGUAGGUGGAGCAGACGAAAGGGCCCUGGGUCGUGGGUUCUAAUCCCAGCUUUGCCACUCGCUGGUUGUGUGAUCUCCACCGAGUUACUUCCCCACGGGGGCUGAGGUUUCUCGGCUGGACGAUGAUCUGGAUGGAUUAGAUGUCAAAAGGGACCCGGAAGGCUGGGACACGGAGAUGAUGCCAACGAGGCUGAACCACAGAAUGUUUUUCAGUCAUUUUUCACUCAUUCAUCAUUUUCCAUUCAUUAGAAACUCUAGCUAAGAUCUUCUCUCUCAAGCUCUUUCUGCCUCUGCUUUUAAGCAUCAACUGAGCGGAGGCAAAGGGAUACCCUACAGAGCCUGACAAAUAUCAUUUCUCCCGUGAGUCAGGCAGUUCCCAGAAGCAGAGAGGUGUCCAGGAAACACCUCUCCUGUGUCCAGAUCACAAGCAGAGCACCUCAAAUACCAGCACGAGCACCGUCAGAAUUAGUCUGGUCACAGGGACCAAUGAGACUUGAGCAAAUCUUUGAGCCCCAAGACUGGGCGCAGCCAUGAAAGGAAGUUUUGGGCCAAGCAGAUGCAGGAGAAUAUGGGGGAAGGAGCCUCCAGGAACCCACGCUGCCUGCCCCACGGUCUACAGGGGUGAGGUUAAGACUGCCCAUUCCCUCCUCUCCUCCUCCCCCUCAGCCCUAGGACCUCAGCGGGGCUGGUCAUGUAUACUCUAGAAGCCAUAGGAUGGGCUUUCUAGAGAAGGUAAGACAGGACCCAGAGGAAGGACAUUUUGGAUCCAGUCCAAUGUACCCCUAGUAACAUAAGAAGGCAGAGAACCACUUCUGAGGCCUGCUUCGUAGGGAGCACGCCCAUGCCUCUGUUUCCCUGGACACGCCCCACCUUCCUGGCCACUGGCUCAGAAGCAGGGACAAAGCCCUCCCAGGCAGUGGGGGCUGCGGGAGCAGCAGCCAGAGCAGUGGAGGAAGGCGGGUAUGAGGUUCCCAAGUAGGACGGGGUGGGGACAACCUGGAAACUCCAAAGGACCCCCAGACCACAACGCCACACAGCAUAGCCACCAGGCAGCUGUAAAUACCAGCUAUCCAGAGAAGCAAACCAGAACCCGGAAUCGUUUUUUUUUUUAAAAUGCAGCUUGACCUUCCAAGAUCCUUCAGAAACUCAGCCAACAAAAUGCUGCCAGAAUCCGCAGACCUCGUGCCAGCAGCGGGUGCCGCUACAGUGACUUUUAAUAAAAGCUACACAGACAUUGGUUGACCUUCUCACUAGAAGAAAUUUUACCGGACUAGUACUUUAAGUAAACACGUUUCCCAGAGCGUGAGGGGAGAGGCCCGCCCAGCUCGCAAACAGGACCCGACAACGUCCACAUGAGUGAGAGACGAAGGGUCAAGGUUUUGCUCUGAUGGCAAAAGCAACAGGGGAAUUGUGGCAUCCGUCAAAAACAAGUAGAACAUUGACUUGGGGCUGCUUUGACUUGGGAAUAGGCCCAGAUCCCACCGCAAAGAAAACAUCUGGUAGAAAUCCUUGUCGUCUGCUCACUGAAGUAGGAAGCCAGCCUGAGUCGCCCUGGCUGUCCUGUGUCCCAACGUGCACUUGAAGCCGUAGCACCUCCGAGGCUCUGCUCCUCAGACUCCAUGUUUUACUCGUUUUACUUCACACCCGCCUUAACCCCCAGCAGGGCCAGUCAGCGGAAACGACCUUUCGCACCGCAGACAGGGAAGGGCAAGAAGCACGAAUAUGGGGCCGCUCCUGAGAGUGGGCUGGCUCCGCCCGAGCGGGCAGGGGGCAGGCAGCGUCUGAAGGGCACCCCCCGGGGGCCCAGGUGGUACAAAUCUCACCAACGGGACCACUGCCUGCAGGGUCGUGACUGAAGAAGAUUGGGGGACCAAGCGUCAACAUGGCCAGAGGGCACAGCAGCUGGGAAGAGCCCCCAAGGUAGCCCUGGGCCCCCCGCAGAUGCCAGGAGGACAUGCUGCAGAAGGACGUCGCCCCUUCCCUCACACCUACAUUCUGUGCCCACACCCGGGCCUGGCCAAGCCUAACAGCUCGUGCCCCAUGUCGCCUCCCCGGCUCUGCCCCAGGCGGUGGGCUGAAGUAACUCUUCCACGAGCCUCUACAGCCAGCAGAGACCCAGCCCAGCUCGCGGCCCCAAGGUCCCCCGCAGCCGAGGCCCCAGAGCGCGACUUGCCAGCUUGCUCUCCCCGAAUUCCUUCCCGCUCCGGGCUGCCCGCCCCUUCUUGGGGAAAACACCUGCCCCGAGCGGAGACGUAGGCACGGGGCUUCUCCCACAGCAACGGCCACCGGGCUGCCGCUGAGGAAGAGCACGGCGCCACCUCACGCACGCCCAGCUCAGUCUCGGUCAGCUGACAGCAGCAGGGACAGAGGCGGCGCCGGGCCUGAUGUCAGCAAGUGGGCAAGGAAGAAGUUUCUGGCACAGAAGCACACGGUUGUGGGGGCAACACAGCUGGUUUCGAUCAGGACACCUUGGAGGGCUGCUACAAAUCUCUGUUCCCGGGAAAGUGGUCCCUCCGCCACGACUACGUGUAUUCACCGCACCUGUCACAUCCAGUGCUGCCCCUCUCCGGGUGCGGCUUCCCACCGGUGGCCUCCGCCCCCCACCUCACCACCCUCUCUGCCUCUCCUGUCUGUGUGACCAAGUCCCUAGGACCCACAUUCCCUCCCUUGCCCGACUCUUUCCUCUACGGACAAAACAAGAUGACGAAGGACCCAGACACACAUCACAUGGGGCAGUCAGGCGCAGGGGGAGCCCGGAGGAACGAGGCCUUGUCCAGAGAAGGGGAAGUGCUUGCAGGGUGCCUCGGCAAGGGGACAGGCAGGACGGUGGCCAGAUCGGGACACUGGGACAGAUAACUGGUCUGGUGGGCAGGUGGCCGGUGGGGCAGCAGGACUGUGACGGUCAGAGUAGUGGAUGGCACCCCCAGACUGCUGGAACAGGAGCCUUCUCCAAGACAGAAUCGGGGCUUCCCUGGAGGAGAGAAGGAGGGAGAUGGUGACCAAACGGUGGGUAAGGAAGAGGAGAGCGUGCGCCCAAGGCUAUAGCCCACUGAUGUGCUUGUGACAGGAUGGGCCAAACACAAGGGGACCGGAGGUUACGCAGCCUGAAAAGUUGGGCAUAAACACGGACUUGAUGAACAGAGGCAUCGGAUGUACACGAAGGGGGGGUAAAGGUGAGCAUCAGAAUUCCCACGGUCCCUUCUGCCUUUUCAUAGAUCAGGUUUAUAUAAAGUGAGAGGAGCUGUGCCCCCACCCCGCCUUGGUUCCAGCUGUGACUCACACCCCCUGUCCCCGGGAGCCCCAAGGCAGGAAGAGGAAUGGGCAUUCAAAUGGGUCUCCAGUAACUUUACCAGCAGGAGGUCAAGCCUCAGUGUUGUCAAACUGGACCCAUGCCCCGCUCUGCUGAAAACCACACAGCUGGAACGGAAGAGCUCCCCGGGGUCAUCCAGUACAGUGUUUAGGGGGCUAGGGCACCUCUGAACAUGAUGGGGGGACACAUUUCAGCCCAGAGCCCUAGCCAAAGACACAAGGAGGGAAAGGCUGCCAAGAACAGGGAGGCAAGGGGGGCAAAUUGCGGAAUCCCCCGUCCAGGGCAGGGAGGCCCGCUCUGGGCUACGGGCCCCCUGCCUGCUGGAACCAGGCUCCUCCCAGGGCAGGGAGACCAACUGGGUAAGCCUGGCCCAAUCCUAUCAGGAAACUCUCCCCAGCCACACCGGAGGCCACCUGCAAUCCUCCGCAUCCAGUCCUGCGCCCCAUCACAGAAGCUUCGGGGAAGAAGCGACCGGCCCUCUCCAGCUGUCAGGAUCUCUUUGGCCAUUCUCAGGUUAUCAGGCCACUAGUUCCCUGGUCUUAGAGUGGACACACUUUGCCACGUGGCCAAAGCAGGACAAACACUCGACCCACCUUUGACAAGCGAAGGAAUCCUCUUUCACAUUAGUGACCCUGUUUCAAGAGAAACCCAUGUAAGAGUUUUAAAUAACUAGACAACAUAAUCUCCACCUUCUGUGCACCCAGCUUUCAACUCCCUGAUGAGCUCAGGAAGGGGCAUGAGGCCCCAGGAGCCAGCAUUUCCCAGCUCACACCUGGUGUGUGUCCAAGGGUGUGACUCUAACACAGGAGGUGUGGCAGAGGUGGCUGGCACCCCCCAGGCUGAUGCCUGCACCAUGCGGGGACCGCAGCGUCACCCCUAGACCUGACCAGAGUUUUCCUCCUCCACCCCCUGUGACGUGUGAGGCACCCCCUUCCCCAGACCCCCAGAAAGGACAGCUGAGUUUUGGAGGAGGUUGGAAUGCGGGAUGUGGGAGGCUCCGCCCACUACCCUCACCGCCCUGGAUUCUUACCGCACUAGAGCUGGCAUGGCUGAGCUUAUCAAAGCGGAAUUUCAGGUUUGACCUCGGGGAGUUUCUGCUUUUGGUAUCUAGGAAAAACAAAAUCGUCCAUGAAAAGACCGUGAGGCUGUAGAGGUCACCGGGGCUGUGUGUCUGGGGCGGGGGUGCCGCCCGGGGGGUGGGGGUGGGGGCAGGAGCAGGGCCUCCUCCCUCCCCGGAGCACUCCGGCUGACUUGCAGCAAUUUGUCAAAGCCAACUCUUUAUAAGUUUUCAGAAAUGCAAGCUAGUUGGUAAACCCAGUCAUUUUAUUAAAAAUCAAACUAUAUAAGCUUACAAUUCCAUAAAUUAUAUUCGUCAAAGGUACUAAAUAGGGGCACCUGUUUAGUGACCGGGUGACUCAGUCGAUUAAGCAUCAGACUCUCGGUCUCGGCUCAGGUCAUGAUCUCACUUUCGUGAGCUCGAGCCUCAUGUGGGGCUCUGCGCUGACAGCACGGGGCCUGCUUGGGAUUCUGUGUCCCUCUCUCUCUGCCCCUCCCCCCCCCAAAAUAAAUAAACAUUUUUUUACAAAAGGUAAUAAACACUCAGAAGUCAUCGCUUCCCAAUUAUUUCUCUGCAUUUUAUUACGAUCUACUCUCCUCGGGCUAUUUAUGUCCACGGCGCCUGUCUGGUGCUCCUUCCCAACUCCGCAGCUCACCACUAGCCUGAGAUCAGCCACAUUUCUGAGCAUUACACCACAGAAAUCAGCAAAUGCUACAAAACCAGGGCUUGACUUAUUGUUUUGUUGUCUAGGCUUCCCCUGAGAAAACGCGAAAAAUAUCAAUUAAAUGUGAAAAUGCA